AUUGAACGCUGGCGGCAGGCCUAACACAUGCAAGUCGAGCGGAUGAGUGGAGCUUGCUCCAUGAUUCAGCGGCGGACGGGUGAGUAAUGCCUAGGAAUCUGCCUGGUAGUGGGGGACAACGUUUCGAAAGGAACGCUAAUACCGCAUACGUCCUACGGGAGAAAGCAGGGGACCUUCGGGCCUUGCGCUAUCAGAUGAGCCUAGGUCGGAUUAGCUAGUUGGUGGGGUAAAGGCCUACCAAGGCGACGAUCCGUAACUGGUCUGAGAGGAUGAUCAGUC
rnacentral:rRNA from 1 species